CUCGGGCGCGCAGUCCGGGGUUAGGCAGGCUGCAGUGGAGGAGGGUACGCCGUUCCAUUGGCGUGGUACUGUCGGCGGCCCUUCAGAGGAGAUGCUGCCCCACGGAACGCCUGGCAAGUGCUGGCGAAGCGGCAUGGGCGUCCCACUCCGUUCCUCAACCAAUUUCCUCACAAUCGCGAGCCGAAGUGUGGCGCUUUGGCAGUUUCGCAAGGUCUUUUGUCAGGAGAUGAGUUACUGAGGAUUGGGGGUCUUUGGAGCUCUUGGACCUGAAGAACGAUUAAGUUUUUCUCCCUUCAGAGAGCCAAGAAGCUUCCAGCCUUCAGAUUUGAACUGGGACACUGGCUCUGCAGAUUUUGGACUUGCCAGCCUUCAUAAUUGUAACCUACACUCCUGUCAUUUGUGGAAUGAUUGCUGGAGCCAGAGGCCAGGAAGAAGUUCAUGAGCCUGAGAGAAAAAGCAAGGAUUUCCAGUUCUACCCUGCUGGAGUACAGUGGCGUGCUCUCGUCUCACUGCUACCUCUGGCUUCCGGGUUCGAGUGAUUCUCCUACCUCAGCCUCCUGAGUAACUGGGAUUACAAGUGUGUACCACCAUGCCCAGCUAAUUUUUUUUGUAUUUUUAGUAGAGACCGGGUUUUACCACGUUGGCCAGGCUGGUCUCAAACUCCUGACCUCAAGUGAUCUGCCCACCUCGGCCUCCCAAAGUGCUGGGAUUACAGGCAUGAGCCACUGCACACGGCUGGAUAUUGAUUUUUUUUUUUUUUUUUUUUUUGAGACAGGGUCCUGCUCUGUUGCCCAGGCUGGAGUGCAGUGGCACAAUCAUAACUCAUUGCAGCCUUGAACUCCUGGGCUCAAGCAAUCCUCCUGCCUCAGCCUCCCAAGUAGCUGGGACCACCAGUGUGCGCCACCACACCCAGCUAUUUAAAAACAUUGUUUUGUAGAGAUGGGGGUCUUGCUAUGUUGCCCAGGCUGGUCUCAAACUCCUGGCCUCAAGUAAUCCUCCCGCCUUGGCCUCCCAAAGUGCUGGAAUUACAAGUGUGAGCCACUGCACCCAGCCAGGAUAUUGUUAAAGAAUUCCAGAUGUGAGAAGUAAGGCCAAAGGCUGCCUGCAAGUUCUCUUGAUGUCACACCGGAGCACUAACAGGCCCACCUGUAGACUAUUCAGUUCUCUAAGGAAAUGUACCUUUGUUUGACUUACUGUUUACCCCUGUGUGAUUAGAGCACAGCUUCUGCAAAGUUAGAAAUUAACUUAUACAUUGAUAAAUUGCCAAUUAUUUUUGUUAUAGAGAUGCAAAGAUGCACCUGUAUGACAAAGGUGUGUUUCUUCUGGCAGGGAAAAAAAAAAUCCUAAACUAAACCCAGAGGUCACAGGAUUAUUGUCCUAUAGGAUAUUAACUAGUUCUGCAUCUAACUUAGCAAAGUUAUUUUAGCGUUUCUUUUCCCAGCUGACUGUAAAUCUCUGCCUUUCAAAUGCUCUUUGAAGGCAGCUUUACCAUUUUUCUGGCUCCCUCAUUAAGGAGUUAAAUAAAUCGUUGACACAUGUUCGCUUUAUAUUAGUAUGUGGGUCAUGUUUAAAAAUGUUUGAAAAUUGUAUUUCGUCAGCAUGAAUGCCUCUCCCACUGAUCUCACUGGGAAGGUGAGAGAAUGGAUACGAAAAUGCUUUGAAUUGUGUUCCCUGUUUUGCAUUGUAAAGAUGUUACUUGGAACAUUCAGCAGGUGGAAUAAAAUCUCCUCCUCUCAUCACAAGGGGUUUGGACGGGAAUCUUCCAAGGCCAAGAAAGCUCUGUUUCCUUGAGAAUCCCAGUUCCUUUCCAUGCACUGCUCCUUAGCAAGCUCAGGGCGGAGAGGGCUCACCUUGGAGGCGGGUCCUGAUGGCAUUGAUUUCUGCUUGGUUUCGCUCUAGCUCUGCCACCUUGGCGUUGGCUUCUGAUAAGCUGUCUUCCAGCUUUCUGACGUGGGCCUCGGCGUUCAUCUGCUCAGGAAGGAUGAACUCAGUGGGGAAGUUGCGGGUGGGGGAGGCCAAGCCCUCCCUACCUCCCCUUUGAUUUUUGCCCUGUUCUUCCUGUGUGCCUCCCAGGCUACCUGCCUGGAGGUAUGCCCCUGUCUCAGAAACCCCAAAUGGCUCACCAUUUUUUUUUUUUUUUUGAGACAGGGUAUCACUCCAUCACCCCGGCUGGAGUGCAUAGGUGCAAUCAGAGCUCACUGUAGCCUCGACAUCCUGGGCUCAAGCCAUCCUCUCACCACAGCCUCCUGAGUAGCUGGGACCACAGGUGCAUGCCACCAUCCCUGGCUAAUUAGUUUUAUUUUUUUGUAGAGACAGGGUUUCACUGUGUUGCCCAGGCUGGUCUUGAACUGGGCUCAAGUGAUCUGCCUGCCUUGGCCUCUCAAAGUGCUGGGAUUACAGGCGUUAGCCACUGUGCCUGGCUUAUUGAGCACUCUUAUGUGCCAGAGACUAUUGCAGCCCUCACAGUAGCGCUCUAAGGUGGGGAUUAUGACAAUCAUCUUCAUGUUACAGAUGAAGAAAUCGAAGCACAGGUUAUUUUAUUUUUUAUUUUAUUUUAUUUUAUUUUUGAGACAGAGUCUUGCUCUGUCGCCCAGGCUGGAGUGCAGUGGCGCAAUCUCGGCUCAAUGCAACCUCUGCCUCCCAGGUUCAAGCAAUUUUUGUAUUUUUAGUAGAGACAGGGUUUCACCAUGUUGGCCAGGCUGGUCUUGAACUUGUGACCUCAGGUGAUCUGCCUGCCUCAGCCUCCCAAAGUGCUGGGAUUACAGGCGUAAGCCACUGUGCCCAGCAGGUUAUUUUAUUUUAUUUUAUUUUAUUUUAGAGACAGGGUCUUACUCUGUUGCCCAGGCUGGAGUGCAGUGGUGCAGUCAUACUCACUGCAGUCUCAACCCCCUGGGCUCAAGCGAUCCUCCUGCCUCAGCCUCCUGAGUAGCUAGGACUACAGGCACAUGCUACCAUCCCUGGCUAAUUUCAUUUUUUGAGGAGACGAGGUCUGGCUAUGUUGUCCAGGCUGGUCCCCAACUCCUGGCCUCUCAAAAGCAAUCCUCCUGCCUCAGCCUCCCAAAGUGCUGGGAUUACAGGAGUGAGCCACUGCGUCCGGCCCACAGUUAGGUUAUUCACCUUGGACUUCUGUAUCGUCUCCAUGCUGGCAUUGAGGUCAUCAAUCUCAGCCU
rnacentral:lncRNA from 10 species